CAAAAGGACUGCCCGCGUUUUCCAAAUUCCACAGCGCAGCAGUCGACGUCAAACCACCACCACUCGCGAACGGACCCAAAAGAAAGACCCAAAAUCCACUGCCAGCUUCUUCCCCUUCUGCAUAGACGAGCCAUCGGAGAUCCACCAUUGUCAUUUGGAGGUAUAACUGUAGUUCCCUUCAGUCUUGGGCUGUGAACUUUAUUUCAAUAUGGUUAGGAAUUUAAGAUGAUGAUGAAUUUUGGAUGUAUUGUUGACGGAUUUGAUGGAAUUUGAGACAAAGACGAUGUUGAUUGAAUUGGAGAGUAGGAAUGAAAAUGCGACAGUGGAGAAGAAUCAGGAAAUGGAGAACGGAAAGGAUGAUAUGGAAAGCUAUUUCCUUAUACUGAUUCAUACACGGGUGUCCUAUGGAAACGGUGAUCUCAUUCCUCAAUCAACCAGAUUGGUUUGUGUUUGGUUAUAUGAUCUAGAUGGGAAGCAUCCCGGGUGCAAUCAGUCCUAUUUCGCCUGAAGAGAAUUUUCUUUCACACUGGAUAAUGAUAUUUACUUGCAAUUCCAGUCUUUCGACAAUGCAUCUAACCUUGAGAAGUCCAUCAAAGAAAAAUGUGCUUUUAAAAUGGAUAUUGGACCUUUGUACAGUGUUUAUGUAAGAAUUUGUAUGUUUCAUUUUCCCCAUUCUAUUGAUCCGAGUUCUCUUUUCUUACCAGCCAUAGCUUGGUCCUGUAAUUCUGUAACUAGAAUUUUUAUAGAAGUUGACCAUGCUCUUAGUAGUCGCAUAACACAAGAAGUGACUCCAUAAUGAAUCAUGCACAUGCUUUUUGCUCUUGUUGUAUUUAUGCAUGGUACAUCCAUGGAUUCUUGAGGAUUUUAUUUCUUCUCCAUCCUUACCUUUGUAUACACUUUUUUAAGCCUAACUUUUUCUCCCUUCUUUCAUAAGCUGCAGCCUUCAAAGAGACGUGCACUGCUGAAGUUACUACAAUCCGUUGUAACUCUUCUCUUGGCAUAUUUUCGUAUGAAAUAUAUGAGUUCGUUUCCUUCCCCCUCAGGAUAUAACAGAUUAAGAUGAUGUUAGAUACUGCUGCUUUGGGGCUCAUAUUUGGAUUGCCAUAAAAAUUAUUGAUAUACUGCCCUAUGAGAUGAUUUUGGUUUUAAUCACAUUCUGUGUGUCCAUAUCAGAAGACAUGGAAUUCAUUGCUGGGUUUGUGAUGGCAAAGCAAGAAGACUGACUAAUGAACAGAGAGCAUCUAUAGCUGACUACUUUUGCGUCUAUAAGGUGAUAUAGAGUGUUUAACAUACGUAUGGAUUUUAACAGCUCUUUUAUGGUAAAAUGGAAGUGGAAGCAAUUGAUCUGUACUUUUUUCAAAGGCUUCUUUUACUGGUUGUCCUCCAUCCAUUCCUUGCGAGACCAUAUCCUGAAGUUCUUAGGAUUUUUUUUUGAGACAAAAUUGCUUUCAAGUCAAAAUUUAUUUUUGAGUAAAGAUCAUGUAUGAAGAGAUUUUAGAGAUGACUCCUGAUGAAUGGAAAUUUGUGGGAUAUAAGUGAUCAGCCAUUACAAAAAAAGGCAUUGAUGAUAUUCAAUGGAAGCAGCUGAAACAUUUGCUUCAGUCAGGAAAACAGAAGGUUCAAAACACAUGAAACUUUUGCUAAAGGCACCUUUCUGUGUUCAUCCAAAAACAGGUUGUGUUUGUGUUCCAAUUGAUCCAAAUAAAUGUGAAGAAUUUGAUCCUACUACUCUAUUAACCCUUAGCAUGAACUUAACAUGGGAGCACUGAGAAAAGAAGUUAAUGAUGUGAUGGUGGUUGAUUGCAGAAUUGGAUAGAACCUCUAUUGGAGAAUCAAUCAGGUUUUUCAGACCUUUUUUUUUUUUUUUUUUUGGGG